CUUGUAACCCUAGAUAGUGGGGUUUUUAGCUUUCUUCUCAAGCCUCGAGCUUUGAGAUUUUUAUAAUAAAUUAUUUUUUAUAAAAUCUUAUUUUUAUGCAAUUUUAUCUCUUUACAUUAUGCAAUUUAUUUUUCUUGUAAUUAGGAUAGUUUAAUUUAUGCAAUUUAAUUUUAUGCAAUUAGGUUAGUUUAAAUUAUGCAAUUUAUUUUUCUUGCAAUUAGGAUAUUUUAAUUUAUGCAAUUUAAUUUUAUGCAAUUAGGUUAGUUUAAAUUAUGUAGUUUAAAUUUAUACAAUUAGGAUAGUUUAAUUUAUGAAAU
rnacentral:lncRNA from 1 species